rnacentral:rRNA from 1 species
GAGUUUGAUCAUGGCUCAGGAUUAACACUGGCGGUAUGCCUAAUACAUGCAAGUCGAACGGAAUUAAUCUUUCGGGAUUGAUUUAGUGGCGAACGGGUGAGUAACACGUGCUUAAUCUACCCUUAAAUCAGGAAUACGUACUGGAAACGGUAAAUAAUACCUGAUGUGUUUUUUAAAACGCAUGUUUUAAAAAACAAAGCAACUUCUGGUUGUGUUUAAGGAUGAGAGCGCGUCGCAUUAGAUUGUUGGUGGGGUAACGGCCUACCAAGUUAAUGAUGCGUAGCUGAACUGAGAGGUUGAACAGCCACACUGGGAUUGAGAUACGGCCCAGACUCCUACGGGAGGCAGCAGUAAGGAAUUUUUCACAAUGGGCGCAAGCCUGAUGAAGCAAUACCGCGUGAUUGAUGAAGGUUUUCGGAUCGUAAAAAUCUGUGGUAAAGAAAGAAAAUCAAUUUGAAGAAAAGCGAAUUGAUUUGACGGUACUUUACUAGAAAGUCACGACUAAUUACGUACCAGCAGUCGCGGUAAUACGUGAGUGGCGAGUGUUAUCCGGAAUUAUUGGGCGUAAAGUAUGCGUAGAUGGUGAAAUAAGUCACAGGUUUAAAAAUGGAGCUCAACUCCAUAGCGCUUGUGAUACUGUUUUACUAGAGGGUAGAAGAUGUUAGUGGAAUUUCAUAUGUAGCGGUGGAAUGCGUGGAUAUAUGAAGGAACACCAAUAGCGAAGCGACUAACAGGUCUAUUCCUGACAUUGAGGCAUGAGAGCGCGGGGAGCAAAUCGGAUUAGAUACCCGAGUAGUCCGCGCCGUAAACGCUGGGUACUAGAUAUUGUCAGUUAGAGAAUGUCGAAGUUAGCACGUUAGUACCCCGUCUGGGGGAGUAUGCGCGCAAGCGUAAACUCAAAGGAAUUGACGGGACCCGCACAGCGUGAGCAUGUGGUUUAAUUCGAGCACGCGAGACUUACAGUUUGACAUUACUGCAAAACUGUAGAAUACAGCGAGCUACAGUAACCGAUGUACUAGUGUCGUCAGUCCGGUCUGAAUGUAGUUAGUUCCCACGAACGUACCUGUGCUAGUGCUACAUUUAGUGACUUAGCGAACUGGCAGUUACACUUGAGAGGAAGGAAUACUCAAUCAG